rnacentral:rRNA from 1 species
AACGAACGCUGGCGGCGCGCCUAAUACAUGCAAGUCGAGCGAGAAGACGUAGCAAUACGUUUGUAAAGCGGCGAACGGGUGAGGAAUACAUGGGUAACCUACCCUCGAGUGGGGAAUAACUAGCCGAAGGUUAGCUAAUACCGCGUACGCUCCUUGGACUUCGGUUCAGGGAGGAAAGCGAUACCGUGGGUAUCGCGCUCUUGGAUGGGCUCAUGUCCUAUCAGCUUGUUGGUGAGGAACGGCUCACCAAGGCUUCGACGGGUAGCUGGUCUGAGAGGACGAUCAGCCACACUGGCACUGCGACACGGGCCAGACUCCUACGGGAGGCAGCAGUAAGGAAUAUUGCGCAAUGGGCGAAAGCCUGACGCAGCGACGCCGCGUGGGGGAUGAAGGUCUUCGGAUUGUAAACCCCUUUCGGGAGGGAAGAUGGAUGGGUACCAUCGGACGUACCUCCAGAAGCAGCCACGGCUAACUUCGU